GAUCCUGGCUCAGGAUGAACGCUAGCUACAGGCUUAACACAUGCAAGUCGAGGGGAAACGACAUCGAAAGCUUGCUUCCGAUGGGCGUCGACCGGCGCACGGGUGAGUAACGCGUAUCCAACCUGCCCACCACUUGGGGAUAACCUUGCGAAAGUAAGACUAAUACCCAACUGAUAUCUCUAGAAGACAUCUGAAAGAAGAUUAAAGAUUAUCGUGAUGGAUGGGGAGUGCGUCUGAUUAG
rnacentral:rRNA from 1 species